UAUACUCUCCUUGCAAGGGAAUCAGAUGUAAGAGCUAAGAGCGUCCUAGUAUGCACGUGUCAACUGUCGGCCUUGAACUCUUUCAUCCAUAAAUUUGGCAAUUAAACCCUGUGUGAUGGAAAAGUUUCUAGGGGCCUCUGUAGGUCCUGUAACUGCCGGAUUAAAAAUUUGGAAAUGUUGUCUUUUACGGAGUGGCCACACGAGUACAAGACGAUCGUUGAAGAGUUUUGAUACUGCCAGUUAAGGAAAGGAACAGACAAGGUCCACAGCUUUUCUUCGAGGAUGAUACAGGAAGGUUACAAGAUUUAAGAUGGUGCUGACUAUCAAUGGCCACCUCUUCCAACUCUGCCCUGAAAACAAACACCUGAUGCUGGUUCGAGAAAACAUAGCUAAGGUGGCUAAAAUUCCUUCAGAUGUAUGGUGGACAUGACAGUUGAGGGAUGAUAACUAUAUAGCCUAAAGCAUGAACACCUUUACUUUGAAAAUUGGCUCAAGAUGUGGAUUGGUACUGCGAAACACUAAAGAAAAUGCUUGGUGCCAAAACAUAAGCUCAUCAUUAAGGAUUCAGUUGAAGCCAAAAUUGUAAUUUUUUUAGAAAAGUGGCUGCAAAGUUAGCAUGCAUACAGUAAAGAGUGUUUCGCUCUUGGACACCUGAUUAUAUUUCAAAACAAUGAGCCUCCCUAAAUAAUGUCAUGCACUGUUGAAUAGAUCCUGCUGAGAGAAAUCAACAUCUGCAAAGAAAAUGUGGCCAAGCAUUAAAUUUUGGAAAAAAAAUUGGAUUUUUACUGUAGCACUAGAUCUGUCACAGUGACCAAACAUCAAGAGGCUGCUGAUUAAAAAUUGAAGAUGAGAGUUGACCAGAAGAAAAGGCAACGGCUUGGUCCCCGGCUUAGCUUCGAAGAAGAGAGAGGAGUAUAUUAUCAGCUUUAAGAAUAAAGAUGACCAGGUGCAGACCAUUGAUGCUCACCCCUUUACGACUGCAUCCUACCCUGAAAAAAAAGACUUGAAGUUGGUCCGAGAAUACACAUGACAAAGGUGGCUAAAAUUCCUUGAGGAUCUAUGGUGGACAAAAUGCUUGAGGGAUGUAAAUACCAAAAACUAGCCUAAAGCACGAACAACUUUACUUUGAAAAUUGGUUCAAGAUGUGGAUUGAUACUGCGAAACCCUAAAUAAAAUGCUUGGUGCCAAAACAUAAGCUCAUCACCAAGGAUUCAGUUAAAGCCACACUUGUUUUAUUUUAUUUAUUUAUUUAUUUAUCUUAUUUUGAGAAAACUGGCUGCAAAGUUAGCAAGCUUGCAAACUUUAACUUGCAGUAAAGAGUGUCUCGAGUCUCGAUGAUGGACACCUGAUUAUAUUUCAAAACAAUGAGUCUUCCUAAAGACUGUCAUGCACUGUUGAAUAGAUCUUGUCGAGAGGAAUUGAAAUCUGCAAAGAAAGAAUCUGCAAAGCAAUAAAUUUUGGAAAAAAAUUGAAUUUUUACUGUAGCAAGUUCCUGUUUUGAUUGCUGAAAAUUAAAGAGCAAACUUUUUAUCGAUUAACUGCUUUUUGCAACAAAAUUUUAUUUGUCGUUCUGUAUUGAUCCACCUUAAAAAUCCCUAUUAGAUUGGAGUAUGUAUGUAGGUAUGCAUGACAUUAAAACUGAGAAUGUUUGGAGUGCAUUGUCUAUGUGUGUAUGUGCAAAUGUAGUAGUUUGAAGUGCACAAUAAACGGCUUUUCCUCACCUUGAUAUGGUUUUUGUUUCUAUAUUAUAUAAUCGCUGACCGGCUUCUUUUCCUUGCUUGACUCUUGGCUUUUCCUUGCUUGACUCUUGGCUUGGAAUUUUUCUCUUCAUUCACGAUUGCAGUGGCGGGGAUGUAAACAAUGCCGACUCAAUUACUGGUCGAUCAGCUGGUUCCGGUAUCAAAAUACUAAAACAAAGAGGAGACGGAACCUGGACGGAACUUGCUUGCCAUGGCUUAAUCAGUCUGAAUUAUUUAAAUGUGUCCUAUUAUGCAAAACCUUAGAGGUGUAUUGCGUACUCCACUAGCUUACUUGUCAAGGGAAAAUCCAAAUGUCUCUAUGCAUCACAAAACAAGAUGGAAGCGCAUGGACAUCGAACUGACACGUCGCACUAAAAAAUCCUGGACAUGCCUAAGAGGCAAAGAGUGCCACACCUCAGCGUGAAGCCUGUGAUGAUCCGGCAUCGUCCGGAGCGUCGUCUUCAGGGCAAAAUGGCUACCCCGAACAUCUCAUCGGUUUCUCCAAUACCUUCGUCUUCCGAAACUGACAUGGCGUCCGCGUCGUCCCCAUCAUGAGACGAAAGGUACCAAGAUGUCCUGUCCGAGGCGUCGAAUAAUGAUGAUUUUGCGUCCGAGUGGUACCCUGACGAAACGUCGUGGAAGGAAACCGACGCUUCGGAUUCGGGCAAACGACGUUCCUCAUCCGCAAUACCAUUAUCAUCAUUGAGCCAUAAUGCUAUUCGUGCAAAGACGCUCAACGGCUCGGGGAUGUACAACAAUGGGUUAACGUCCAUCAGAUUAGCUGAAGGAGCGUCGACCAACUCUUCGUCCGCAUCGUUGGACGAAAGAUAUAAUGAUAUCUUAUCACAGAAGUCCAACGAUGGGUCCAUUACAAAUUCCGUUGAGUCCAAUGAAAUGGUCGAGGACAUAAUGCUGAUGGCGUCCAUCUUGCUCAAGUGUAUAAAGAAGAAUGAGCGUUCGGCGUCGUGCUCAGGUUCGGUGCUCGGAAAGGUUCGGUGCUCGGAAAGGUUCGGUGCUCGGAAAGGUUCGGUGCUCGGAAAGGUUCGGAAGCUGCGACAUGUAGUGUCGGGAAAACCCCUUGCGAAGCUACAAGCUAUAGGAGGUCUUGUUGAAUUUAUGUUAAAGAAGUGUUUUCGCCCGAGGGAUCUUGAAAUAUAUUGAUAUGACCUUUAUUUGUAAAUACGUGAAAAUGGUACUUAAACAUGGCACAAAGGAGAAAAAGAUGGCUAGUAAAAAGCCACGAUGGGACAGAAGCAUAGCCUGCGCGAGUCUUUUUUGCUCAAAUUUUGAGCUAGCCGCAGCCGUCAGUUUUUGCGAGCCGUGCCAGCUACGUACGCGAGCCAAGCCUACUGGGCACUAUUUUAAAAACUGCGACUAAUAUUGCAAAAAUGCCGCUAUGUGAAUAAUUUUGCAAAUCGCUUCAUCAAAAUGGUUGCUAAUUUCCAUGAAAUUCCUGGGCAGAAAUCAAACUUUUCCAGCAUCCUUCUUAACGUUUGGGGGGAAGGGAUUGCAAAAAAUUUUUCAAGGCAUCUGUAGUUCCUUCUUCCAGAUUUGUACAGGCCGAUGCAGAUCAUUUUUAACUUAAGCGAGUAUCGUCGCCCUCUUGCCUCUUUUGCACCCUCUGUCAGCUGGUUAUGAAAAAUUUCAUAACAUUUGCCCUUGACAACCUUUCUCAAAAACAAAAGCAGGUUUGGGAUUUCCUGCUUGUUAGCUUUGCCAAGUUGUUUGAUUCGAUGCUUAAGCCGGUUGACUGUUUUUUGUUUUUCCUCCAGUUUCCUAAUUAAAAGUCUCUUCCUGGGGGUCAGCAUCUUCUUCGAAUAUGCUCCAAUUUCUACACAAAUCCGUGAUCUGGUUUUUCUGAUGUUUUUUUUGUCUGCAUUGUUAUGCUCAAUGAUCUUCUUGGCUGCAGCUUGGAUUUGCACCGGAGUCCUUACAACCAGAGCCUGCCUCUCUUUGGUCUUAUCAAUCUGCGCAUUCAUGCCAUCCUAUUUGAGAAACAUAAAUUCUUAUGGUUUUGACUGUAUUUGAGACAGUAAUAUAUUUGUCUUUGCAAGCUAUAAAAGCUACAAGGAUAAUUUUAAUUUUUGCAACUUGCAUCUUGAAUUGAAAAUCUUUAAUGCACUGACAACGGUAUUUGACUAAUAUUUUUCAUACUUGCUCCAUUCAGUGCCAAAUUUGAAAAAAUCUAAAAGCCAGUGAUAUUUUAAAUUGGAUUAAAAUAUUGUGUGUAAUUACUUUAUUUAUUCUAACUGGUUACACUAAAUCUUCCUCUUGAAUAUGCUUUUCAGGCGUCCGCAGAUCAGGAUAUUCUAUCUCAAGGUCGACGUCACAUUCCAUGGGCACUUCUUCUUCAAAUUUUUCAUGUCCGUGCUGCAAUGGGGUCUCAGCCAGGAAAUUGAAGGUGGCAGCCGGCGGGACCCCCAUUGCCAAUUUUUUUAAGUUUGAUGGCUGCUGUCGGGGCUUGCGCAGCUUAACCACAUUCACGAUGGCUGGUGGUGGAGACCCAAAAUUUGCCUGCUCACGGGGCAUAUAGCGAGGCUGGUUGAGACCUCUAAUGCUUAUUUUUUAUAUUUUAUUUCCUUGAAAGCACAAUGUAACGCUUGGUUUGUUAUAUUUAAACGAAAAUUACAUCUAACAAUGGAUUUAAAUUACAUACCUUGAUUUUAAUCAAUGCAAUUGCAAGUAAAAGUUGAUUUAACGUUUGUAAAUUCCUGUCACUAUGAUAUGUUAUUACAAUUGGCAAGGAGUGGUUCUAUUCCCUAACCAGGCCUAGGAAAAGAAGGCAAUUUUUAAACUUUGAGCAGUUUGUUUUUUGAAAUUCCUCAACAAAUACUAUUGAUAUUAAUCACCCCCCUAAAUUAACGUUUACGUGACUUUUAUUUCAUAUAUGUCAAACAAUGCAUAUUAUAAUUAUUGUUUUACCAAGUCUUGUUGCUCUAGGAACAGUAUUUGACUAAUACUUUUCAAACUUGCGCCAUUCAUUGCCAAAUUGUAAAAAAAAAACUAAAAGCUAUUGUUCUUUUAAACUGGAUUAAAUAAUUGCGUAUUUACGAUAUUCGUUCUAACCAGUUUUACGUCAUCAUCCUUUUGUACACAUGUUUUCCAGGUGUUCAAAGUUCCUUCUUCGUGUCAGAAUCCACUUGUGAGUCUGUGUCCUGUUCAUGCUGUAAUGGGGCCACAGAAGUGAAAAUGUGAUUUUAAGCAAAUUGACAAUGUUGAAUAAACAAUAUUAUCCAAUGGCUA